rnacentral:lncRNA from 1 species
GGGGGAGUUGUUGAAAAGUUUGUAUGAAUGAGGAUGAAUAAAAUCAAAACACUGACGCAAACAGAUAAUUAAACACAGAUAUGCAAAACUAAAUCACAUACAGAAGAAAAACGGUUGGUCAUUAACUUAAUUACAAUGCUUCCAAUCACAGAUCAACAAAAUAAAGCGGCGACUCAAACCUUUAAUCCAACACAGUUAACCAACUAAGCGAAGGCUAAUCAUGUUUUCAUAAAAGCGAACUAAGCGAACGCAAUGUUAACAUCAAAUCCAAUUUACACCAUGUAGUUUCAUCAACUAAGCGAAGACUCAACACCAACUAGGAAACUAAGCGUAUACCCAAUUGCAAGUGCAAAU